rnacentral:rRNA from 1 species
UCAUUACCGAGUUAGGGUCCUCAUCGGGCCCGACCUCCCAACCCAUUGUUUAUGAUACCUAGUGUUGCUUCGGUAGGCCUGGUCUAUCUGUUAUAGACCUGCCGGGGGGCCGUAAGACGCCCGCCGGAGAGUGCCUACCGACAGCCUCAACUCCAAAAUUCUUUAACCAAACGUGUCUUUGUCUGAGUAACGUCUUUUAAAAUAAAGCAAAACUUUCAACAACGGAUCUCAUGGUUCUG